GGCUCGUUGGUCUAGGGGUAUGAUUCUUGCUUAGGGUGCGAGAGGUCCCGGGUUCAAAUCCGGGACGAGCCC
rfam:Danio rerio chromosome 4, GRCz11 reference primary assembly.